GAUGAACGCUGGCGGCGUGCCUAAUACAUGCAAGUCGAGCGAACGGACGAGAAGCUUGCUUCUCUGAUGUUAGCGGCGGACGGGUGAGUAACACGUGGAUAACCUACCUAUAAGACUGGGAUAACUUCGGGAAACCGGAGCUAAUACCGGAUAAUAUUUUGAACCGCAUGGUUCAAAAGUGAAAGACGGUCUUGCUGUCACUUAUAGAUGGAUCCGCGCUGCAUUAGCUAGUUGGUAAGGUAACGGCUUACCAAGGCAACGAUGCAUAGCCGACCUGAGAGGGUGAUCGGCCACACUGGAACUGAGACACGGUCCAGACUCCUACGGGAGGCAGCAGUAGGGAAUCUUCCGCAAUGGGCGAAAGCCUGACGGAGCAACGCCGCGUGAGUGAUGAAGGUCUUCGGAUCGUAAAACUCUGUUAUUAGGGAAGAACAUAUGUGUAAGUAACUGUGCACAUCUUGACGGUACCUAAUCAGAAAGCCACGGCUAACUACGUGCCAGCAGCCGCGGUAAUACGUAGGUGGCAAGCGUUAUCCGGAAUUAUUGGGCGUAAAGCGCGCGUAGGCGGUUUUUUAAGUCUGAUGUGAAAGCCCACGGCUCAACCGUGGAGGGUCAUUGGAAACUGGAAAACUUGAGUGCAGAAGAGGAAAGUGGAAUUCCAUGUGUAGCGGUGAAAUGCGCAGAGAUAUGGAGGAACACCAGUGGCGAAGGCGACUUUCUGGUCUGUAACUGACGCUGAUGUGCGAAAGCGUGGGGAUCAAACAGGAUUAGAUACCCUGGUAGUCCACGCCGUAAACGAUGAGUGCUAAGUGUUAGGGGGUUUCCGCCCCUUAGUGCUGCAGCUAACGCAUUAAGCACUCCGCCUGGGGAGUACGACCGCAAGGUUGAAACUCAAAGGAAUUGACGGGGACCCGCACAAGCGGUGGAGCAUGUGGUUUAAUUCGAAGCAACGCGAAGAACCUUACCAAAUCUUGACAUCCUUUGACAACUCUAGAGACAGAGCCUUCCCCUUCGGGGGACAAAGUGACAGGUGGUGCAUGGUUGUCGUCAGCUCGUGUCGUGAGAUGUUGGGUUAAGUCCCGCAACGAGCGCAACCCUUAAGCUUAGUUGCCAUCAUUAAGUUGGGCACUCUAAGUUGACUGCCGGUGACAAACCGGAGGAAGGUGGGGAUGACGUCAAAUCAUCAUGCCCCUUAUGAUUUGGGCUACACACGUGCUACAAUGGACAAUACAAAGGGCAGCGAAACCGCGAGGUCAAGCAAAUCCCAUAAAGUUGUUCUCAGUUCGGAUUGUAGUCUGCAACUCGACUACAUGAAGCUGGAAUCGCUAGUAAUCGUAGAUCAGCAUGCUACGGUGAAUACGUUCCCGGGUCU
rnacentral:rRNA from 1 species